CCUACGGGUGGCAGCAGUGAGGAAUAUUGGUCAAUGGGCGUAAGCCUGAACCAGCCAAGUCGCGUGAGGGAUGAAGGUUCUAUGGAUCGUAAACCUCUUUUAUAAGGGAAUAAAGUGUGGGACGUGUCCGAUUUUGUAUGUACCUUAUGAAUAAGGAUCGGCUAACUCCGUGCCAGCAGCCGCGGUAAUACGGAGGAGCCGAGCGUUAUCCGGAUUUAUUGGGUUUAAAGGGUGCGUAGGCGGCCUUUUAAGUCAGGGGUGAAAGUCUGUGGCCCAACCAGAGAAUUGCCGUUGAAACUGGGGGGCUUGUGUACGUUUGAGGCAGGCGGAAUGCGUGGUGUAGCGGUGAAAUGCUUAGAUAUCACGCAGAACCCCGAUUGCGAAGGCAGCAUGCCAAGCCAUGACUGACGCUGAUGCACGAAAGCGUGUGGAUCAAACAGGAUUAGACCCUUGUAGUC
rnacentral:rRNA from 1 species